UUUUUAUGAUGAUACUAUUUCAAUCUGAUCCUUGAUGUUCAAACAUUAACGAGCUUUUUAACACUGAAAAAA